ACAAAUGGAAGGUGGUGCAUGGUUGUCGUCAGCUCGUGUCGUGUGAUGUUGGGUUAAGUCCCGCAACGAGCGCAACCCUUAUUAUCAGUUGCCAGCAUUCAGUUGGGCACUCUGGUGAGACUGCCGGUGACAAACCGGAGGAAGGUGGGGAUGACGUCAAAUCAUCAUGCCCCUUAUGACCUGGGCUACACACGUGCUACAAUGGACGGUACAACGAGUUGCGAAGUCGUGAGGCUAAGCUAAUCUCUUAAAGCCGUUCUCAGUUCGGAUUGUAGGCUGCAACUCGCCUACAUGAAGUUGGAAUCGCUAGUAAUCGCGGAUCAGCAUGCCGCGGUGAAUACGUUCCCGGGUCUGGA
rnacentral:rRNA from 2 species